AGCCAUCUGGCCUAAUACUGACACUGAGGUGCGAAAGCAUGGGGAGCAAACUGGAUCAGAUACCCUGGUAGUCCAUGCCGUAAACGAUGUCUACUAGCCGUUGGGGCCUUUGAGGCUUUAGUGGCGCAGCUAACGCGAUAAGUAGACCGCCUGGGGAGUACGGUCGCAAGACUAAAACUCAAAUGAAUUGACGGGGGCCCGCACAAGCGGUGGAGCAUGUGGUUUAAUUCGAUGCAACGCGAAGAACCUUACCUGGUCUUGACAUAGUAAGAACUUUCCGGAGAUGGAUUGGUGCCUUCGGGAACUUACAUACAGGUGCUGCAUGGCUGUCGUCAGCCCGUGUCGUGAGAUGUUGGGUUAAGUCCCGCAACGAGCGCAACCCUUUUCCUUAUUUGCCAGCGGGUUAAGCCGGGAACUUUAAGGAUACUGCCAGUGACAAACUGGAGGAAGGCGGGGACGACGUCAAGUCAUCAUGGCCCUUACGACCAGGGCUACACACGUGCUACAAUGGUCGGUACAAAGGGUUGCUACCACGCGAGUGGAUGCUAAUCUCAAAAAGCCGAUCGUAGUCCGGAUUGGAGUCUGCAACUCGACUCCAUGAAGUCGGAAUCGCUAGUAAUCGCGGAUCAGAAUGCCGCGGUGAAUACGUUCCCGGGCCUUGUACACACCGCCCGUCACACCAUGGGAGUUUGUUGCACCAGAAGUAGGUAGUCUAACCGCAAGGAGGACGCUUACCACGGUGUGGCAGAUGACUGGGGUGAAGUCGUAACAAGGUAACCA
rnacentral:rRNA from 1 species